GUCCCUGGUGGGGGGGCACCGACCUGAAUGAUCUUCUCGGGAAUGUUGGAGACGGUGAAGCCGUAGAGGCGCACGCGCUCCGGGAAGAUGCUGGACAGGAUCCUGCGGUCCAGCUGGAAGGCGAUCUCCCCCACCAGCCGUUCCCAGGCCAUCUGCCGGGACUCUGGGCGAGAGCGAGGCUGCGCUUCCGCUCCAGCUCCAGGACGCUCUUCCGCGAUGUUUCCGAGGCGCGCGCCCCUCGUGCAUCGUUGACCGAAGCCGGCAAGGACGACAUGCGAGUCGGGGAGUGGGAAGGGGCCCGGGGCCGGCUGGGCGAGCGGGUGGCACCGUGGGCGACGUUCGUCUCGCUAGGGGAAGCGCCGUUGGAGGCAGCAGCUUGCGGGUUGGGGAUAGAAUCCCUGGGAUCUGGGGCGGAGGAGCUGGCACAAGAGACUAUGGAGCCAGUGCAGACGACCACCUGCCCCUGGGGGGCACUGGGCUGGGUUCGCACAUUAGAGGCGCCAUAGAAGGCCGCUGGGCUGGUGGGGGUGGACGAGAGCAAUGGUGGCCCCACAAAGGUCACGCUGAGGGGCUCCGCCGAGUCCUGGGACGACCUCAUGUUCUCUGUUGACGUCAGGACCACUAGGUAAGAGGAGGAUUGGAAGCUGGGCCCCACCCGCCCAGACCGGCCAUCCUGCUUGUGUCCCGUACCUUUGCCGUGAGUGCCUGUGGCCUGGGAUCCAGAAGAACAUCUCCGCAUGGUCUCAGACAGCCGCACCCUUGUGGACUCCGAGGUCACCGUGUUGCCCAAGGGGCUGGCCAGCAGGCUCUGAGGCUACUGCAAUCUUGGGCCUUCCCGGUGAGCCUGUCGCCAUCCUUCUGAAGAUACUGAUCUCAGGCUCCCAGCACCACUGCCCCAGGCCCCCUGCCCGAGGACCUGGCUCCCUCCCUGCAGCUCCAUGUGUCCAUGACCUGGCCCCGGCCCCCGGCUGUGGCCUUCGUCCUGGAUCUCUGGCCCCAUCUCCUCGAAUCUUCCAGCAUUGGUCUCUCAAGAUCUUAAGACCGUGCUUCCAAGGACUGGACCCCCCUACACUGCACCUUCUUCACACUCCCUCCAGACCUCUUCUGGGCAGGCCAGGGUGGGGCCUGGGGAGCAAAGAGCAGGCGGGAGGAACCUAGGCUGGGUCAGCCUGAGUGGGGCAUUCCACCAGACCUCACAAUGAGGGGGAGCCCCCACCCCCUCGUGCCCCGGAGACUGUGACCCCAUGAGUCGCCGGGGCCCUGGGCUAGGCUGAGGGUCUUUUCAUCUCGGCUCGGUGCACCAACCUCAGCCUUGCCCUGUCCCCUCAGUCACUCUGUCCCCUCAGUCUCGAGCCCUGUCCAUCAGCUGGGCGGGUGACUGCAAGGCGAAGCCAGCCCCUAGCACAUCAUUAUGGGUUCGGUGGGCACAAUUGUACAGCGAUAAUAA